GACGAGGGACCCUAGCGUUGUUCGGAAUCAUUGGGCGUAAAGCGGGUGUAGGCGGCAUGUCAAGUCGCGUGUGAAAUCCCCAGGCUUAACCUGGGAAGUGCGCGCGAAACUGACGAGCUUGAGUGCCGGAGAGGGUCGCGGAAUUCCCGGUGUAGAGGUGAAAUUCGUAGAUAUCGGGAGGAACACCAGUGGCGAAGGCGGCGACCUGGACGGACACUGACGCUGAGACGCGAAAGCGUGGGGAGCAAACAGG
rnacentral:rRNA from 1 species